rnacentral:rRNA from 1 species
UGCCAGCAGCCGCGGUAAUACGUAGGUCCCGAGCGUUGUCCGGAUUUAUUGGGCGUAAAGCGAGCGCAGGCGGUUUGAUAAGUCUGAAGUUAAAGGCUGUGGCUCAACCAUAGUUCGCUUUGGAAACUGUCAAACUUGAGUGCAGAAGGGGAGAGUGGAAUUCCAUGUGUAGCGGUGAAAUGCGUAGAUAUAUGGAGGAACACCGGUGGCGAAAGCGGCUCUCUGGUCUGUAACUGACGCUGAGGCUCGAAAGCGUGGGGAGCGAACAGGAUUAGAUA